rnacentral:rRNA from 1 species
CAGUAGCCGCGGUAAUACAGAGGGUGCAAGCGUUAAUCGGAAUUACUGGGCGUAAAGCGCGCGUAGGUGGUUUGUUAAGUUGGAUGUGAAAGCCCCGGGCUCAACCUGGGAACUGCAUCCAAAACUGGCAAGCUAGAGUACGGUAGAGGGUGGUGGAAUUUCCUGUGUAGCGGUGAAAUGCGUAGAUAUAGGAAGGAACACCAGUGGCGAAGGCGACCACCUGGACUGAUACUGACACUGAGGUGCGAAAGCGUGGGGAGCAAACAGGAUUAGAUACCCCUGUAGUCCCUGUCUCUUAUAA